rnacentral:rRNA from 1 species
UACCAGCACCCCGAGUGGUCGGGACGAUUAUUGGGCCUAAAGCAUCCGUAGCCGGUUUUACAAGUCCCCCGUUAAAUCCAGCUGCUUAACAGAUGGGCUGCGGAGGAUACUAUAAGACUAGGAGGCAGGAGAGGCAAGCGGUACUCAGUGGGUAGGGGUAAAAUCCGUUGAUCCAUUGAAGACCACCAGUGGCGAAGGCGGCUUGCCAGAACGCACUCGACGGUGAGGGAUGAAAGCUGGGGGAGCAAACAGG